GGUCCCUUCGUCUAUCGGCUAGGACGUGACCCUCUCAAGGUCGAAAGACGGGUUCAAUUCCCGUAGGGACUG
rnacentral:tRNA from 1 species